rnacentral:rRNA from 1 species
UGGGGAAUCUUCCGCAAUGGACGAAAGUCUGACGGAGCAACGCCGCGUGAGUGAAGAAGGUUUUCGGAUCGUAAAACUCUGUCUUUUGGGGCGAACGUGAGUAUGGUGAACAAUCAUAGUCAGUGACGGUACCAAAGGAGGAAGCCACGGCUAACUACGUGCCAGCAGCCGCGGUAAUACGUAGGUGGCAAGCGUUGUCCGGAAUUAUUGGGCGUAAAGAGCGCGUAGGCGGGAUAGUCAGUCUGUUGUAAAGUGCGGGGCUCAACCCCGUGAUGGCAAUGGAAACAGCUAUUCUUGAGUGCAGGAGAGGAAAGUGGAAUUCCCAGUGUAGCGGUGAAAUGCGUAGAUAUUGGGAGGAACACCAGUGGCGAAGGCGACUUUCUGGACUGUGUCUGACGCUGAGGCGCGAAAGCCAGGGGAGCGAACGGGAUUAGAUACCCCGGUAGUCCUGGCCGUAAACGAUGGGUACUAGGUGUGGGAGGUAUCGACCCCUUCCGUGCCGGAGUUAACGCAAUAAGUACCCCGCCUGGGGAGUACGGUCGCAAGACUGAAACUCAAAGGAAUUGACGGGGUCAUAGCUGUUUCCU